rnacentral:tRNA from 1 species
GCGGGCGUGAUGGAAUGGUAGACAUAUCGGACUUAAAAUCCGAAGGGCGUACGCCCGUGUGGGUUCGAGUCCCACCGCCCGCACCA